GGGCCCAUAGCUCAGUUGGUUAGAGCAGAAGACUCAUAAUCUUUUGGUCCUAGGUUCAAGUCCUAGUGGGCCCA
rnacentral:tRNA from 2 species